rnacentral:rRNA from 1 species
GCAAGUCGAGCGCAGUCCUUCGGGACCGAGCGGCGGACGGGUUAGUAACGCGUGGGAACAUACCCAGCUCUGCGGAAUAGCCUCUGGAAACGGAGAGUAAUACCGCAUACGCCCUUCGGGGGAAAGAAUUUCGGAGUUGGAUUGGCCCGCGUUAGAUUAGGUAGUUGGUGGGGUAACGGCCCACCAAGCCGACGAUCUAUAGCUGGUUUUAGAGGAUGAUC